rnacentral:rRNA from 1 species
GUGCCAGCCGCCGCGGUAAUACGGAGGGUGCAAGCGUUAAUCGGAAUUACUGGGCGUAAAGCGCACGUAGGUGGUUUUGUAAGUCGGAUGUGAAAGCCCUGGGCUCAACCUGGGAAUUGCAUUCGAUACUGCUUAACUAGAGUAUGGUAGAGGGAAGUGGAAUUUCCGGUGUAGCGGUGAAAUGCGUAGAUAUCGGAAGGAACACCAGUGGCGAAGGCGACUUCCUGGGCCAAUACUGACACUGAGGUGCGAAAGCGUGGGUAGCAAACAGGAUUAGAUACCCCCGUAGUCC